UACGUAGGUGGCAAGCGUUAUCCGGAUUUAUUGGGCGUAAAGCGAGCGCAGGCGGUUUGAUAAGUCUGAUGUGAAAGCCUUUGGCUUAACCAAAGAAGUGCAUCGGAAACUGUCAGGCUUGAGUGCAGAAGAGGACAGUGGAACUCCAUGUGUAGCGGUGGAAUGCGUAGAUAUAUGGAAGAACACCAGUGGCGAAGGCGGCUGUCUGGUCUGCAACUGACGCUGAGGCUCGAAAGCAUGGGUAGCGAACAGG
rnacentral:rRNA from 1 species